UUAAGAGUUUGAUCCUGGCUCAGAUUGAACGCUGGCGGCAGGCCUAACACAUGCAAGUCGAGCGGAUGAGUGGAGCUUGCUCCAUGAUUCAGCGGCGGACGGGUGAGUAAUGCCUAGGAAUCUGCCUGGUAGUGGGGGACAACGUUUCGAAAGGAACGCUAAUACCGCAUACGUCCUACGGGAGAAAGUGGGGGAUCUUCGGACCUCACGCUAUCAGAUGAGCCUAGGUCGGAUUAGCUAGUUGGUGAGGUAAAGGCUCACCAAGGCGACGAUCCGUAACUGGUCUGAGAGGAUGAUCAGUCACACUGAACUAGAACCCUGAACG
rnacentral:rRNA from 2 species